rnacentral:rRNA from 1 species
ACUCCUACGGGAGGCAGCAGUGGGGAAUAUUGGACAAUGGGCGCAAGCCUGAUCCAGCCAUGCCGCGUGAGUGAUGAAGGCCCUAGGGUUGUAAAGCUCUUUCACCGGUGAAGAUAAUGACGGUAACCGGAGAAGAAGCCCCGGCUAACUUCGUGCCAGCAGCCGCGGUAAUACGAAGGGGGCUAGCGUUGUUCGGAUUUACUGGGCGUAAAGCGCACGUAGGCGGACUAUUAAGUCAGGGGUGAAAUCCCGGGGCUCAACCCCGGAACUGCCUUUGAUACUGGUAGUCUUGAGUUCGAGAGAGGUGAGUGGAAUUCCGAGUGUAGAGGUGAAAUUCGUAGAUAUUCGGAGGAACACCAGUGGCGAAGGCGGCUCACUGGCUCGAUACUGACGCUGAGGUGCGAAAGCGUGGGGAGCAAACAGGAUUAGAUACCCGAGUAGUCCCAUGA